UGCUCUCUGAUUCAGCGGCGGACGGGUGAGUAAUGCCUAGGAAUCUGCCUGGUAGUGGGGGACAACGUUUCGAAAGGAACGCUAAUACCGCAUACGUCCUACGGGAGAAAGCAGGGGACCUUCGGGCCUUGCGCUAUCAGAUGAGCCUAGGUCGGAUUAGCUAGUUGGUGAGGUAAUGGCUCACCAAGGCGACGAUCCGUAACUGGUCUGAGAGGAUGAUCAGUCACACUGGAACUGAGACACGGUCCAGACUCCUACGGGAGGCAGCAGUGGGGAAUAUUGGACAAUGGGCGAAAGCCUGAUCCAGCCAUGCCGCGUGUGUGAAGAAGGUCUUCGGAUUGUAAAGCACUUUAAGUUGGGAGGAAGGGCAGUAAGUUAAUACCUUGCUGUUUUGACGUUACCGACAGAAUAAGCACCGGCUAACUCUGUGCCAGCAGCCGCGGUAAUACAGAGGGUGCAAGCGUUAAUCGGAAUUACUGGGCGUAAAGCGCGCGUAGGUGGUUCGUUAAGUUGGAUGUGAAAUCCCCGGGCUCAACCUGGGAACUGCAUCCAAAACUGGCGAGCUAGAGUAUGGUAGAGGGUGGUGGAAUUUCCUGUGUAGCGGUGAAAUGCGUAGAUAUAGGAAGGAACACCAGUGGCGAAGGCGACCACCUGGACUGAUACUGACACUGAGGUG
rnacentral:rRNA from 1 species